GUAGGUGGCAAGCGUUGUCCGGAAUUAUUGGGCGUAAAGCGCGCGCAGGCGGUUCUUCAAGUCUGAUGUGAAAGCCCACGGCUCAACCGUGGAGGGUCAUUGGAAGCUGGAGAACUUGAGUACAGAAGAGGAAAGCGGAAUUCCACGUGUAGCGGUGAAAUGCGUAGAGAUGUGGAGGAACACCAGUGGCGAAGGCGGCUUUCUGGUCUGUAACUGACGCUGAGGCGCGAAAGCGUGGGGGAGCAAACAGGAUUAGAUACCCUGGUAGUCCACGCCGUAAACGAUGAGUGCUAAGUGUUAGGGGGUUUCCGCCCCUUAGUGCUGCAGCUAACGCAUUAAGCACUCCGCCCUGGGAGUACGGCCGCAAGGCUG
rnacentral:rRNA from 1 species